AAUACAGUUACAUUCAUCAUUGGGAUCUUGUACCUUUACAUGAUGUAUCUUGGUUCUUAUUCUUUUCCGAUUCCUCUGCCCUCCCUUCACCCCCUCAAAUCUUCCCUAUUUACAAAGACUUUGUUUCCAUAUUUUUCCUUCUCUAGUAGUUCUGAUCCUUGCUUCACUGAUGGUUUUUCUAGGGCAUGGGGGCAUGGAAACAUCACUUGGUUGCAUGAGCUGCUCAUUCUGUUUUGCAGAAACAGUAAUAUAUUUGGUUUCCCACUUACCUGCCAGAGUGGGUUAGAAUGAAUGAGACUAGAUCUGUCUGGAGAAAGAGGUUAUUUGGACAUCCAGUCUGGUUUCCUCAAAUAGGGCAGCAGAAAGUUGCCAGGGCUCCCCCAAAGGCCAGGCGAGCCCAGGAGACUGGAGCAUUACGCUUUACUCAGACAGUGGAGACCACGCCUGUCUCCCCAAACAGCCCUGUGUGUGUCUGCCUUGAUGAUGCAUUUGUGCCGGUCGGGGAGUUGGACCUGCAGCAGAAGCAAAUGGUUGCCAGUCACCACUUUCCAUACAGAGCAUCAGCCAUGCAGGCUUCUGACUCACACUACACUCACCUGCACUCCGAGACUCGGGCACAGGGAGCUCCGGCUUCCCAGUGUGCUUCCCUUAGUAAUUACAGAGGCCCCCAACACUGCAGCUCACACAGAGCCUGGCCUUUGUGGCUGGAGUCGGACCCCAACACUCUGCUCCCCAAUCGCAUGCCCAGGGUGUGCACUGCCUUCUCUCAUUCUCCUCCCACUGAGGCACUUCCCAGCUGAGUUCUGCCUUGCCAUGCCCCACAUCUCCCACAAGGGGGAGCCCCCGGAGGGCAACUGGGGCUGAGGAAUUUUGGAAGCGCUGAAGUUUUCGACUCCUGUCCUGCAACUGGUUUUCACUCACCCAACGGUGAGAUUUCUUUGUUGCAGUGUUGGAGUCUGAGAUAACACUGCCGGAAGCUGCAGGCGAGAACCUUAGCUCAUUCUAUCUUUUAUUGUGUGUUGUUGUUUACCAGCAUUCUAAACUAAGAAGGAAAAGUAAUAAAGACAUGCAGGACUCACAGGCCCUGGAUGAAGACUGCCAGCCUCAGACAGAACCAGCACGUCUGAGGGACAACCAGGAGGUGCCUUUGGCUGUGGAGCUCAGUCAUUUUGGUCUUCAACUGUGGCAGCUACUUUUCCAGGUCUUCACGUGCCAGCCCCUCAGCUGAUCUCCCACUUCACUGGUGAUAUAUUACUCCAGAACAUCUUCAUCCCUACAAAGAAAGUUAACCAGGAUUGUCAUACAAUUGAAAUGGGCCAAUAAUUCUGAGUGAGGCUCCAAGGAGAAAGGCAGCUGGGUGUUGUGGAGAGAUCGAGAUAGCUGCUUGGAACAUUCUAAAGUGUUCUCUAGUAUUAGAUUAGAUGCGGUAAUGCUAGAGUAUUUAGGUAUUCUAAAGUAUCUCCAGCUCAGCCUCCAGAAAGCUGAAGUUGAAGA
rnacentral:lncRNA from 1 species